GAUCCUGGCUUAGGACGAACGCUGCGGCGUGCUCAUACAUGCAAGUCGAACGAGAAGUUGACUUCGGUCAAUGGAAAGUGGCGGACGGGUGAGUAAAAUGUAGAGAAUCUGCCCUAGAGAGGGGGACAACAGUUGGAAACGACUGCUAAUACCGCAUAUGAGCGUACCUGCAAUGGUAUUCUUGAAAGAUUUAUCGCUCUGGGAUGAGUCUGCAUCUGAUUAGUUAGUUGGCGGUGUAAUGGACCACCAAGACGACGAUCAGUAGCUGGUUUGAGAGGAUGAUCAGCCACAAUGGGACUGAGACACGGCCCAUACUCCUACGGGAGGCAGCAGUAGGGAAUUUUGCGCAAUGGGCGAAAGCCUGAACCGCAGCAACGCCGCGUGAUUGAAUAAGCCCUUCGGGGUGUAAAGAUCUGUCAGUGGGGACGAAACUUGACGGUACCCACAGAGGAAGCAUCGGCUAACUCCGUGCCAGCCGCGGC
rnacentral:rRNA from 1 species